rnacentral:rRNA from 1 species
AUGAGAGUGUUGUGCUGGAACUGUCAUGGGAUUGGCAACCCCGUGACGGUGAGGGAGCUCAGGGAGCUCAUGAGGGAAAGUGCAUCGUCGGUGGUUUGCAUUGUGGAAAUGCAAUUGGCAAAAAAGCGAGUGGAAGGCCUAACUUCUAUGCUAGGUUUUGAUGGGGGGUUUGCAGUGGCAAGUUCAGGAAGAAGUGGGGGCCUAUGUGUGUUUUGGCGGAAUGGCGUUAGUCUCAGUAUAAAGAAUUACUCGAAGUACCACAUUGAUGCUUGGGUGUUUGAACAGGGGAGAGAUGACUGGCGACUCACAUGUUUCUAUGGAGAAGCCAACAGAAGUAUGAGACAGCAAACUUGGGAUACUAUGGCUCCGUUGAGAGGGGAAUCGACCCUCCCGUGGUUGUGCAUUGGAGACUUCAACGAGGUUCUUCGUAGGGAGGAACAAAUGGGGCCGAAUCUGCAGGAUGUAUCCCAGAUGGGUGGUUUCCGAGAGGCUACUAAUCUGUGCGGCCUUGAUGACUUGGGCUACAUUGGAGUUGAUUGGACUUUUGAAAAACGAGUGGCUGGUGGUCAGUUUUGCAGGGUGAGGCUGGACAGGGCAUUAGCUACAGCAGACUGGAGUGUUGCGCAUCCUUUUGCCUAA